GAUGAACGCUGGCGGCGUGCCUAAUACAUGCAAGUCGAGCGAAUGGAUUAAGAGCUUGCUCUUAUGAAGUUAGCGGCGGACGGGUGAGUAACACGUGGGUAACCUGCCCAUAAGACUGGGAUAACUCCGGGAAACCGGGGCUAAUACCGGAUAACAUUUUGAACCGCAUGGUUCGAAAUUGAAAGGCGGCUUCGGCUGUCACUUAUGGAUGGACCCGCGUCGCAUUAGUUAGUUGGUGAGGUAACGGCUCACCAAGGCAACGAUGCGUAGCCGACCUGAGAGGGUGAUCAGCCACACUGGGACUGAGACACGGGCAAGACUCCUACGGGAGGCAGCAGGAGGGAAUCUUCCGCAAUGGGCGAAAGUCUGACGGAGCAACGCCGCGUGAGUGAUGAAGGCUUUCGGGUCGUAAAACUCUGUUGUUAGGGAAGAACAAGUGCUAGUUGAAUAAGCUGGCACCUUGACGGUACCUAACCAGAAAGCCACGGCUAACUACGUGCCAGCAGCCGCGGUAA
rnacentral:rRNA from 1 species